rfam:Arabis alpina cultivar Pajares chromosome 4, whole genome shotgun sequence.
AAACCAUGUUGUGGUCAGCUUCUUGUAUACUCUUUGAAUCGGUCUAAGGCUUCAUGGAAUGGUUCAUUGGCACCUUGUUGAAAGUUAUAGAUCUUGUCCCUAAGUUG